rnacentral:rRNA from 1 species
GUGAGGAAUAUUGGUCAAUGGGCGAGAGCCUGAACCAGCCAAGUCGCGUGAAGGAAGAAGGAUCUAUGGUUCGUAAACUUCUUUUGCAGGGGAAUAAAGUGCAGGACGUGUUCUGUUUUGUAUGUACCCUGAGAAUAAGGAUCGGCUAACUCCGUGCCAGCAGCCGCGGUAAUACGGAGGAUCCGAGCGUUAUCAGGAUUUAUUGGGUUUAAAGGGUGCGUAGGUGGUUUGAUAAGUCAGCGGUGAAAGUUUGCAGCUUAACUGUAAAAAUGCCGUUGAAACUGUCGGACUUGAGUGUAAAUGAGGUAGGCAGAAUGCGUGGUGUAGCGGUGAAAUGCAUAGAUAUCACGCAGAACUCCGAUUGCGAAGGCAGCUUACUAAGCUACAACUGACACUGAAGCACGAAAGCGUGGGGAUCAAACAGGAUUAGAAACCCCGGUAGUCC